AUGGGACACUUCUGGUGGAAUCAGAUGAAUCCCGGGGUACCUGAGGCUCAACCUCCUCAGGUUUUGGCAGUGAACCCUGAGUUUAGACAGUCCCUUGGCCGGCCUGCGAGGAGUACCUUGCGGGUUCCUCGGGACCUGCAGCUGCCCCCGACCAAGAGAGACCAGCCGGCCUUCAGAGAACAAAGAAAAGAAAAACUCAAGGAAUAUCUGUUAAUACGAAAAACAACGUUUCCAUACAAACAAGAGAAUCAGAUAUCCAGAGAUCAGAAAAUGGUGACAUCUGAGGAUCAGGUCCAAGAAGGGAAAAAAGUUGUGAAACUCAAAACAGAAGUGGCUGAUAAAGAAAAUAUUGGAAGUAUAGUUGAAAAAAACUGCGUUCCAUUAAAGGCUGAAGAAGUAGCCAGCUCAGAAACGCACCACCCAAAGGGUGAUGUGCAAGCCGUGCAGCUGUUAUCCACCGGAGCGGAUUUCCCAGGUCAGCCCGUGAUGUUAGACCAGGCUUGUCACCAUAAAGACAGUGCAGGGACGCAAGUGACGGCAGAGAAGCCGAAGCAAGACACUAACAUGUCUAAAAAACGAGUGCUUGGCUAUUAUCACGGCCAGAUUGUUCAGUCUAAGAUCAAUUCAUUCAGAAAGCUUCCCAGUGUCAAAGACGAGAGUCUCGCAGCAACCAAGAAACUCCCCACUACUGUGUCUAAAGCCAGGAAGGCUCACAUUGAGCCUGGGAAGGCAGUCAGUGUCAGAGCCUCAAAUACAGCUGCUGCCACCAGGUCUGCAGACACUAACUCCGGGAGCGCCUUGUCCAAGAACACACUUGUGCGACCACCUAUCCGAAGUCUCCACAGUAGAACCCACGGCGGGACCCUCGGUGCUGUGAAGCAAGGCCUCGGCGGGACCCUUGACAGUGUUACAGUCAGAAAAGAGUCGCUUGAAAAGGAGUCACAUCGACCAGAACCGGUCAUGUCUGUUGUCAAAACCAGUUCUUCUCAGGACACAAAAAGAGGCAAGGCCCCACCAAGAAGCAUAGCAUGUAAAGAUGUAACCAGGACUAACUCAUCUAAUGCCAGGCUGACAGGAAAGUCCAGAGAUCCUGACCAGCGCAGAUACACGAUCGCAGGAGCGGCUGUCCUUAGAUCAGCUCAGCCCAAAGAUACCACAGCAGACAGGAAAGCUCAGAUGACCGACUGGAGAACUGGCAAAGGGAAGGGGCUAAAAAGGCCUCCUCAUUCAGAGGUCACCCAGGCUGAGCCCAAGAGACAAAACGAAAACGCAGUUGGGUCCUUUUGGACCACCAUGGCAGAAGAAGACGAGCAGAGAUUAUUCACUGAAAAAGUAAACAAAACGAUUUCUGAGUGCCUGAACCUCAUUAAUAAGGGAUGCCCAAAAGAAGAAAUUUUAGCUACACUGAAUGACCUGAUUCAUAAUAUUCCAGAUGCCAAGAAACUUGUUAAAUAUUGGAUAUGUCUUGUACGUAUUGAACCAAUCACAAGUCCUAUUGAAAAUAUUAUUUCAAUUUACGAGAAGGCCAUUCUGGCAGGGGCUCAGCCUAUUGAAGAGAUGUGACAUAUAAUCAUAGAUAUUCUAACAACGAAGAAUCAAGAAAAAGCCAAUUUGGGAGAAAAUAUUGAGGAGGCUCAUGCAACCAAGGAACAUAUCCAAGAAGUAGAUGUUGAAACUAAUCUCGGGUCAGGAAAACCAGAAGAGGAGAAUGAACAUCAUAGAAAAGUUGAGGUUUACGAAGACAAUCAGGACAGCGAAACAGAAGAUCCAACCAAUGAUCUAACAACCCCAGACUCAAAAGCCGAGGCAGGUUGCCUGAUUCGAUAUAAUGUAUCUUCUACACCUCCCUUGCAAAGUAUGAAAAAGACGCAACAUGAUAAAAAUUCCACAUUUAAAGAGCUAAAGUUUCUGACACCCGUGAGACGUUCGCGCCGCAUUCAAGAGAAGACUUUACAACUGCCAGACAUGUUAAAAGACCAUGACCCUUCCGUGUCUUCCCUGGAACAGUUGUCCGAAUUGGGAGGGGAUGCUUUUGUUUGCCGCCCUAAUGCAGCCCUGUGCCCUCUGUUCUGUGAGACCGACGUCGUGGAGGAGGAAUAGCACUCCUGAGGCCUCAGCAGUUAUGGUUGCCUUGUGUACAACUUUACAACAGGUCUGAUGCUGUCUGCAUGCCUAAGUAUGAUACAGGUGAACACCAAUAGCCUGUUUAUUGUGUUUUAAAAAUAUGUUAGCUAUUU